AAAAAUGAUGCCAGAAAGAUAGCUUUUUCAACUUCACUGAUGCGAUAUACCGGCGGACAGAUUGGUCCUUCAAACACUGAUAUCCCACUAAUCUACAGGAAUGUUUUCACAAACAUAGGAGACGCCUACAACCCAGAGACUGGUUUGUUCACAGCCCCGCUGAAAGGAGCGUACAUGUUUCAAUUCACUAUCGUUAGUUUUGAUCCAGUAUAUCCAUCAACUGCCAACAUUAGGAAGAAUGGAAACCAUAUAGUUAUAGCAGAUAUUGACCAAGGCGGGCGUGUGUUACACUCCUCAAACUCGGUCGUGUUGAUCCUGGAGGUUGGAGAUGUUAUCUCUGUGACACUCUGGCCUAACCGCGUUAUUCAGGAUAACCCGGGUAAUCAUAACACUUUCAGUGGUUACCUACUGUUUCCGUUAGAAUAGGAGCUUUGCAGAAUCAUCCUGAACACAGUCAGGAGUAUGAAGUACUUUCUGUAGUUUGAGUUCACUGGAAGCACUCCAGAAUUACACACAAGUAGCACAGAACACAACAAAAUUAUUAUGUUUUUGGCCAUAUUGAUUAGGCUACCAUUUUAAUAACCACAGUUGUACAAAUACCAUGGUUAAACUAUGGUUAGUGUAUUAAUC